UUAAGAUUUAAAAUUAUGGAAUUAGAGUAUUAAUAGUUAUGGUCUUUAAACUUAAAAAAAUUGGCGGUGUUUAAGUCUGAUUAGGGGAAUUUGUCUUUUAAAUGAUAUUCCGCAAGAUACCUUACUUUAUUUAUUAAUUUAUUUAUUGCCGUUAACAGAUUAUUUUAAUAGAAAGAUAAAUUUUCUUUAAUAUUUAAGUUAAAUAUAUAUUUCAGGUCUUUAUGUAGUUUAUAAUAAAGUUUAGAUGAAUUACAAUAAAAUUUAUUUAUAUGAAUAUAAAGAUGAAAAUUUUUAUUGAAAGUGGACUUAGUAGUAAUUAUUAUUUAUAUAAUAAUAAUUUGAAUUUAGAAUUAAACAUGU
rnacentral:rRNA from 1 species